GGAGGUUAAAAUCCUCCCUAG
rnacentral:tRNA from 5 species